rnacentral:rRNA from 1 species
UACGAGGGGAGCAAGCGUUGUUCGGAUUUACUGGGCGUAAAGGGCGCGUAGGCGGUCGUGACAAGUCACUUGUGAAAUCUCCGGGCUUAACUCGGAACGGUCAAGUGAUACUGUCGGACUAGAGUACAGAAGGGGCAACUGGAAUUCCCGGUGUAGAGGUGAAAUUCGUAGAUAUCGGGAGGAACACCGGUGGCGAAGGCGGCGAUCUGGGUCGAUACUGACGCGUGAGGUGGCGAAAGCGUGGGGAGCAAACAGG